rnacentral:rRNA from 1 species
UACGGGGGGGGCAAGCGUUGUUCGGAAUUACUGGGCGUAAAGGGCUCGUAGGCGGCCAACUAAGUCGUAUGUGAAAUCCCCAGGCUUAACCUGGGAACUGCAUCCGAUACGGGAUGGCUUGAAUCCGGGAGAGGGAUGCAGAAUUCCAGGUGUAGCGGUGAAAUGCGUAGAUAUCUGGAGGAACACCGGUGGCGAAGGCGGCAUCCUGGACCGGCAUUGACGCUGAGGCGCGAAAGCUAGGGGAGCAAACGGG